ACGGGUUAGUAACGCGUAGGAAUCUGCCUAGUAGUGGGGGAUAACUACCGGAAACGGUAGCUAAUACCGCAUACGCCCUACGGGGGAAAGCAGGGGAUCUUCGGACCUUGCGCUAUUGGAGAUGCCUGCGUCGGAUUAGCUAGUUGGUGGGGUAAAGGCCCACCAAGGCGACGAUCCGUAGCUGGUCUGAGAGGAUGAUCAGCCACACUGGGACUGAGACACGGCCCAGACUCCUACGGGAGGCAGCAGCGGGGAAUAUUGGACAAUGGGCGCAAGCCUGAUACAGCCAUGCCGCUUGGGUGAAGAAGUCCGUAGGGGUGUAAAGCUCUUUCAGUAGGGAGGAAAAGUUAGGCGUUAAUAACGUCUAGCCGGUACGUUACCUACAGAAGAAGCACCGGCAAACUCCGUGCCAGCAGCCGCGGUAAUACGGAUGGUGCGAGCGUUAAUCGGAAUUACUGGGCGUAAAGCGUGCGUAGGCGGUUUGUUAAGUGAGAUGUGAAAUCCCCGGGCUCAACCUGGGAACUGCAUUUAAAACUGGCUGGCUAGAGUAUGGUAGAGGAUAGUGGAAUUUCCGGUGUAGCGGUGAAAUGCGUAGAGAUCGGAAGUAACAUCAGUGUCGAAGGCGGCUAUCUUGACCAAUACUUAACGCUGAGGGGCGAAAGCGUGGGGAGCAAACAGGAUUAGAUACCCUGGUAGUCCACGCCGUAAACGAUGUCAACUAGCCGUUGGGGGGCUUGUCCCCUUAGUGGCGCAGCUAACGCGAUAAGUUGACCGCCUGGGGAGUACGGCCGCAAGGUUAAAACUCAAAUGAAUUGACGGGGGCCCGCACAAGCGGUGGAGCAUGUGGUUUAAUUCGAUGCAACGCGAAGAACCUUACCAGCCCUUGACAUCCUGCGAAUUUUCUAGAGAUAGAUUAGUGCCUUCGGGAACGCAGUGACAGGUGCUGCAUGGCUGUCGUCAGCUCGUAUCGUGAGAUGUUGGGUUAAGUCCCGUAACGAGCGCAACCCUUGCCCUUAGUUGCCAGCACGUAAUGGUGGGAACUCUAGGGGGACUGCCGGUGAUAAACCGGAGGAAGGUGAGGAUGACGUCAAGUCAUCAUGGCCCUUAUGGGCUGGGCUACACACGUGCUACAAUGGCCGGUACAGAGGGCCGCAAACCCGCGAGGGGGAGCAAAUCUCACAAAACCGGUCGUAGUCCGGAUCGGAGUCUGCAACUCGA
rnacentral:rRNA from 1 species